CGGUAAACGCUGGGUAGCCAAGUGCGGAGAGGAUAACUGCUGAAAGCAUAUAAGUAGUAAGCCCACCCCAAGAUGAGUGCUCUCUCCUCCGACUUCCCUAGAGCCUCCGGUAUCACAGCCGAGACAGCGACGGGUUCUCCACACAUACGGGGAUGGAGCGACAGAAGUAUGGAAAUAGGAUAAGGUAGCGGCGAGACGAGCCGUUUAAA
rnacentral:ncRNA from 1 species